GUAGGGGGCAAGCGUUGUCCGGAUUUAUUGGGCGUAAAGAGSGUGUAGGCGGCCUGAAAGGUCAGCUGUGAAAACUCGAGGCUCAACUGGGCGGGGUCAGCGGAUACGGCGUAGCUGGAGCAAGCUAGGGGGCAAUGGAAUUCCCGGUGUAGUGGUGGAAUGCGUAGAUAUCGGGAGGAACACCAGUGGCGAAGGCGGUUGCCUGGAGCUUUGCUGACGCUGAGGCGCGAAAGCGUGGGGAGCGAUCCGGAUUAGAUACCCGGGUAGUCCACGCCGUAAACGAUGCGGACUAGGUGUCGGGGGUAUCGACCCCCUCGGCGCCGCAGCUAACGCAUUAAGUCCGCCGCCUGGGGACUACGGCCGCAAGGCUA
rnacentral:rRNA from 1 species